AUUGAACGCUGGCGGCAGGCCUAACACAUGCAAGUCGAACGGUAACAGGAAGAAGCUUGCUUCUUUGCUGACGAGUGGCGGACGGGUGAGUAAUGUCUGGGAAACUGCCUGAUGGAGGGGGAUAACUACUGGAAACGGUAGCUAAUACCGCAUAACGUCGCAAGACCAAAGAGGGGGACCUUCGGGCCUCUUGCCAUCGGAUGUGCCCAGAUGGGAUUAGCUAGUAGGUGGGGUAACGGCUCACCUAGGCGACGAUCCCUAGCUGGUCUGAGAGGAUGACCAGCCACACUGGAACUGAGACACGGUCCAGACUCCUACGGGAGGCAGCAGUGGGGAAUAUUGCACAAUGGGCGCAAGCCUGAUGCAGCCAUGCCGCGUGUAUGAAGAAGGCCUUCGGGUUGUAAAGUACUUUCAGCGGGGAGGAAGGGAGUAAAGUUAAUACCUUUGCUCAUUGACGUUACCCGCAGAAGAAGCACCGGCUAACCCCGUG
rnacentral:rRNA from 1 species